rnacentral:rRNA from 1 species
CCUCUUGGUCUGGGACAACUGUUGGAAACGACAGCUAAUACCGGAUAUUAUGAGAUUCUCGCAUGGGAAACUUAUGAAAGCUAUAUGCGCCAAGAGAGAGCCUUGCGUUCCAUUAGCUAGUUGGUGGGGUAACGGCCCACCAAGGCGACGAUGGAUAGCCGGCCUGAGAGGGUGAACGGCCACAAGGGGACUGAGACACGGCCCUUACUCCUACGGGAGGCAGCAGUGGGGAAUAUUGGACAAUGGGCCACAAGCCUGAUCCAGCAAUUCUGUGUGCACGAUGAAGGUCUUCGGAUUGUAAAGUGCUUUCAGUUGGGAAGAAGAAAGUGACGGUACCAACAGAAGAAGCGACGGCUAAAUACGUGCCAGCAGCCGCGGUAAUACGUAUGUCGCAAGCGUUAUCCGGAUUUAUUGGGCGUAAAGCGCGUCUAGGCGGAAAAAUAAGUCUGAUGUUAAAAUGCGGGGCUCAACUCCGUAUUGCGUUGGAAACUGUUUUUCUAGAGUACUGGAGAGGUGGGCGGAACUACAAGUGUAGAGGUGAAAUUCGUAGAUAUUUGUAGGAAUGCCGAUGGAGAAGUCAGCUCACUGGACAGAUACUGACGCU